rnacentral:rRNA from 1 species
UACGAAGGGGGCUAGCGUUGCUCGGAAUCACUGGGCGUAAAGGGUGCGUAGGCGGGUCUUUAAGUCAGGGGUGAAAUCCUGGAGCUCAACUCCAGAACUGCCUUUGAUACUGAGGAUCUUGAGUUCGGGAGAGGUGAGUGGAACUGCGAGUGUAGAGGUGAAAAUUCGUAGAUAUUCGCAAGAACACCAGUGGCGAAGGCGGCUCACUGGCCCGAUACUGACGCUGAGGCACGAAAGCGUGGGGAGCAAACGGGG